AUAUAAACCACCCAGGUAUGGUCUAAUGUUACCUUGGAGGAAAUAACGAUUUUAAAAACGGAUUCUAACGCACCCAUUUUCAUAUUCUUUUGACAAAAAUAAUGAGUGCGUUCAAGAUAAAUCAACAGAUUUUGAAGAAUCGGCCAUACCUGAUAUGUACAUUCAUUGAACAUCACAACAGAUUAUUU